UUUCCUUCCCAACUUAAAACCUCCAAUAAAAUGAAAAUGCAACAUUGAAGACUAAUUUAUCGCUUACAACAGUCAAUAGGCAUGUCAUUCAUGCUCAUGCUUUCAUAAUAGCUAUUACUGCUACCGACUCCUGAGACAAAAAGUGUAGCUUUGGCAGCGGCUUGAUUGGCUACUGAAGUAACCGACUGAAGUGGAGUCAACAAGCUAUCAUAAUCACCCAGCAAUUGCAAUGCAGUAAUCAGAC
rnacentral:misc_RNA from 1 species